UACGUAGGGGCAAGCGUUGUCCGGAAUCAUUGGGCGUAAGCGCGUGUAGGCGGCUUGGUAAGUCUGCUCUGAAAGCCCGGGGCUCAACCCCGGGAGGCGGGUGGAUACUGUCAAGCUCGAGUCCGGAAGAGGAGUGUGGAAUUCCUGGUGUAGCGGUGAAAUGCGCAGAUAUCAGGAAGAACACCUAUGGCGAAGGCAGCUCUCUGGGACGGUACUGACGCUGAGACGCGAAAGCGUGGGGAGCGAACAGG
rnacentral:rRNA from 1 species